rnacentral:misc_RNA from 1 species
AUGAAACAUUUAUCGUCCUUGAAAAAUAUUUCGUUUAUUCGACAAAACCAGACGUAAACAUGGUAAAGGGGUGGUCACGAAGAAGGAAGGCAAAAAUGUCUGGUAGCAGUUCGUCACAGAUAUUUCAGAAAAGGCUUCGACCCAGAAUCUGAAGUAUUAAAAGAGUAUGAGAAUCAAGUGUUGGGUGUGAAAGGGAAGGUGUAUGAGAAGAAGCCAGCAAAAGUUGAACUGAAGCCUGGAAAGAAUUACCACUGGUGUUCCUGUGGUUACUCACACUCACAGCCCCUUUGUGAUGGAACACACAAGACAUUAGCUGACCGGAACUGGACAAAAGUCAAAUUCAAACCUUUGGUUUUUCGGGUGGAAGAAGAAAAGACAUAUUUCUUGUGUAAUUGUAAACAGACGAAGAAUCAGCCAUUCUGUGAUGGAACACACAGAGAACUUGAAGAACAAGACAAGUGGAAAGGGAAAAAGGAGUAGAAAGGGACAGAAAUGGUCAUUUAUGAUCCCAAGGGAAAAGAACUCAGAAUAAAAGGCUGCAGAGCUGUGUUGAUUAAAUUCUCAAAGAUU